rnacentral:rRNA from 2 species
UGGCUGCGGUAACCUGACCGUGCAAAGGUAGCAUAAUCAUUAGUUUUUUAAUUGGAAGCUGGCAUGAAAGGUCGGAUGAGGGAAUUACUGUCUCUAUAUAAAUUAAUUAAAAUUUUAUUUUUAAGUAAAAAAGCUUAAAUUUUUAUGGUAGACGAGAAGACCCUAUAGAGUUUUAUUUACUUUUAUAAGAAUUAUUGUUUAGUAUUUAGUAAUUUUUUUUAUAAAAUUUAAUUUGGUUGGGGUGAUUGAAAAAUUUAAUAAACUUUUUUUUAUAAUACCAUUGAUUUAUGAGUAUAUGAUCCUUUUUUUUUAGAUUAUAAGAUUAAAUUACCUUAGGGAUAACAGCGUAAUCUUUUUAAAGAGUUCAAAUCGAAAAAAGGGGUUGCGACCUCGAUGUUGGAUUAAAAUUUAUUUUUGGUGUAGGAGCUAAA